rnacentral:rRNA from 1 species
CCUACGGGUGGCAGCAGUGAGGAAUAUUGGUCAAUGGUCGGAAGACUGAACCAGCCAAGCCGCGUGAAGGAGGAAGGUACCAAGUAUCGUAAACCUCUUUUGUCAAGGGACAAAGACUGGGACGCGACCCCGAAUGAGGGUACCUGAAGAAAAAGCAUCGGCUAACUCCGUGCCAGCAGCCGCGGUAAUACGGAGGAUGCGAGCGUUAUCCGGAUUUAUUGGGUUUAAAGGGUGCGUAGGCGGUCUGUUAAGUCAGCGGUAAAAGCCCGGGGCUCAACCCCGGCCAGCCGUUGAAACUGGCAGUCUUGAGUUGGAGAGAGGUAUGCGGAAUGCGCGGUGUAGCGGUGAAAUGCUUAGAUAUUGCGCAGAACUCCGAUUGCGAAGGCAGCAUACCGGCGGCGAACUGACGCUGAGGCACGAAAGCGUGGGUAUCGAACAGGAUUAGAUACCCGGGUAGUC